rnacentral:rRNA from 1 species
CAGCCGCCACGGUAAUACGUAGGUGGCAAGCGUUAUCCGGAUUUAUUGGGCGUAAAGCGCGUCUAGGUGGUUAUGUAAGUCUGAUGUGAAAAUGCAGGGCUCAACUCUGUAUUGCGUUGGAAACUGUGUAACUAGAGUACUGGAGAGGUAAGCGGAACUACAAGUGUAGAGGUGAAAUUCGUAGAUAUUUGUAGGAAUGCCGAUGGGGAAGCCAGCUUACUGGACAGAUACUGACGCUGAAGCGCGAAAGCGUGGGUAGCAAACAGGAUUAGAUACCCGCGUAGUCCCUGUCUCUAUACAC